UCUUUCCAUCAAUUUCAUUUUCCUUAUUUUCUAACUUACUUAUUUUAUUUUUUCUUGAAUUUUUCUAACUUUGACUAUCAAAUUUCAAAUUCAAGAAAGCACAUCUAAGCACUCGGAUGACCUUAGGAAACCAUCAGCUCUAUUCGAACUCCAUCUUUUCUUCCUAAGUCAAUUCUUUUGUUUCUUAUUUUUAAAUUUU
rnacentral:lncRNA from 1 species